AUGGCCGCCGCCCUCGCGUCGCCGCGCACCUCGCGGCAGCUCGUCGACGCCCUCACCGCGCACCUCUCCCUCUACCACGCCGCCAACCCUAGCAGCCCCUCCCCUUCCCCAUCCCCCUCCCCCACCCCUCGCGCCGCGAUCCUGCGGUGGCUGGCCGCGCUGCCGCCGCCGGCGCGCGCGGCGGCCUGCACGGCCCUCCUGCCGCCGCCCGCCGCGGCCGCGCUCCUCUCCAUGCUCCGCCGCCUCCGCCUCCGCGGCCACUCCUNNNNNNNNNNNNNNNNNNNNNNNNNNNNNNNNNNNNNNNNNNNNNNNNNNNNNNNNNNNNNNNNNNNNNNNNNNNNNNNNNNNNNNNNNNNNNNCGCCUCGCGCGCGCACGAGCUGCUCUUCGCCCGCGCGCUCCUCUUCACCGCCUCCCCAGCCUCCCCGCGCCCCGAUGCGAUCACGCUCGCCGAGCCCCUCCUGGCCGACCUCGACGCCUUCGUCGCCGCCAUGGACGAGAUCUCCGGCGGGGCCUUCCUCCGCGCAGGCGACGGCGAGGUCGACCUGGCCGCAUUGGCGUCCGAGGAGUUCCCCGAGCUGCCCUGGCUCAAGGCCAAGGGGUACUACGUGAUCGAGGAGUUCGUGGCCAACUGGGUCGAGAUCGCGCUGCGGAUGUCGUGGGCGGCGGCCGCGGCCGGGGGCGGCGUCGGCGGGAAGAAGGCGGUGAGGGUUGGGAGGUGCGUCAAGGAGAAGGCCGGGCUGGCGUCGACGGCCUUCUGGAGGGAGAAGGGGUAUGUGGACUGGUGGAUGCGGCUGGAGCCCCGGGUGAGAGCAAGGAUCACAGGAGCCUUCUUCGGGAAGAGUGCAAAGGCGCUGGCUAAUGAGAUUGAAGGAUCAGAUGUUGCUUCUAGCGAUUCUGGAUCAUUUCUUGCAGACAGUAUGUAUGGAAGUACACGGCAGUCUUUUUUCAGAAAGAAUCAACCUGGUUGCGGCGAUGUUGCAAGCAUUCUGUCUUGUAAAAAGAAGCCUGCUUUUGCUAAAGAAUUAAAAAGAUUGCUGGUGCUUCAGGAGAUAGUGUGUUUAAAGAGCAAUAUUACUUACUGUGGCGGUGAUGCAAUCUUUCUCACUUCAUUAAUGUCAGCUGGCACUGUUGCUGACAAUAUACUCAUGAGAUUACGAAGACUUCUCAUGGUGGUGUCGACGGAAAGUAUAAAGUUGGAGCUCAUUGGGGAUGGAGCAUCAAAUAAUCCAAAAAAGAAUGUUGAAAAGACAAGUGUAGGUUCUCGAAAAGGAAAGAAGAAGUCUAGUAGCUCGAAAAAGCUAGCAGCGUCUUCCAAGUCGUCCAAGGACAAUGGAGGCAGUAGCACAGAAACAAGAAAUUCUAGGAUUGUGUCAAAGUCAAACCAGCAGACUCCAUCUGUUCGAUGCACUAUUAAUGGACCCGCUUCUGAAGAAACUCCUUGCAAAGAAAUUGCACCAAUACCAAAGGCGGAGCAAGCUAUCAGGUUGGCUGACUGCAAUAAUCAAUGUAACAAAAAGAAAAACAAACGUAAAGGGAAAGCAAAACUCUCUGAUCUUUUGAGAGCUGAGAACCCUGGACCUGGCAAAUUGAAGACAGCUGUUGCUCAUGUUGCUACAGAAGCCUUUCAUAAAUCUCCCGAAGCAGUAGAUGCCCCACUGUGUGUCCCAUCUCAUGCGCAUAUUUCCAGUAAUGACAUCCCUGAAGCAGUGGGUUGUUCUGAGUCAUCAAGUAUCUUUGAUGGAACUGAAGAAAAAGGCAUCAAAAGCAGCAGAAAACUGGAAGAUACCUUACGUUCUUCUAUGGUUAUCUCAUCAGUAACCACAGAGUGUUGUCAGAGUGCACAAAAACCUGCCAACUUCAGUGUGAAUGAGCAGAGCCCAUCACGCAGUAGUCAAAAUGAAUUCAUUGUCCAACCAUCUUUAUGUUCACCUUCCAGUAGUGAUAAUGUUUUAUCUGGUAAUCCAUGCAGAAACUCUGCUGACUCCUUGGUAAGAUCUGCACAGGAUAAGACUGGCUGUGAUAUAACACAGGGAGCUUUGCAUGGACUUCCUCCUGGUGUUGGUAAAGGAUAUGAGAAACAAAUGGAUCACAGCUCUGUAGUGACAACCGACAAACUUUUACCAUCAGUCAUUCCUGCCAACAUUCUCCAAAGUGCUAUAAGCGACAAUGGUACAGCAGUGAAGAAUGGUGUAGAUGAAUAUUAUGCAUUCAACCGGAACUUGCUGGGAGGAACAUCAUACGAGUGGCCUAGUGUAGCACCCCAUUUUGUAUCACCUGAAAUGCAACAGCGCCCUGCUGCAGCAGACAGGUUGCAUCUUGAUGUUGGUUACAGAUGGCCUACUCCAUUUAACCAACCUUUCAUUCCUGCCAACCAUCAGGUGAGAAGCUCACCAGUUGAAUCUGGAUGCAAUCAAAUGUUAUCUUCUUUGUCAGUGCCCUUAAGUUUUGAUUGGCCUCCUGUUUUCAGAGGUUAUGGUAAACUGACUCAAAAUGCUGCUUUAAGUUAUGAUCCGGUAUUUGCCCCACAUAUGCAGUCUUCUGCUUGGCCUGGGUUUCCUGCUCAACUAAUUCAGAGAGGUGGCAUUUGCAGUGAAAAAGAUAGGAAAUAUUUUAGCGAUAGUGACCCAAGAAACACAUCAGAUGUUGGGGAUGAUACUGAAAGCUAUUGGUUUUCUGAAGAAGAAUCAGACGGCCGUGCAACUUCUGGAAGAGAUAUUAAUCAAUAUUUUGGCGGUGGCGUGAUGUAUUGGAGUCCUGCAGAACAUGCCGGAACGGGCUUUUCUAGGCCACCAUCUCUUAGUUCAGAUGACAGUGCUUGGGCAUGGCAUGAGGCAGAUGUUAGUCGAGUUGUUGACGAUCUGGCUAUUGGGAUUCCAUCAUCAACAUAUAAUGCAAAUGGUGCAUCGUCACCACCAUCCAGCCCAAGCCCAUCCUGUUCCCAGCAUGAAACUUCUGAUCCUUCCCCUCAGCCUGCUUGUCACUCAGUGGCAGGGAAUGACAUCAACAAUGAAGCUUCACAUUCUCCAUCUUCUACGCAAGACAGUCCUGAAGAUAAGACUACUUCGGCUGUAAAGAGUCCAUCUUGUGCCAGUGAAGUAAAGGGGGAUACACUACCAUAUGCAAUGCUGCGGCCAAUAGUUGUUUCUAAUAUAUCACGAAGGCUAUCAAGAUCUGACUUUAGGGGUGGUCAUGAUCACAGGAGCCCAUGUGUGUCUUCGACCAGGAGGGAUAUACCUCUUGUAAGAAGACCUCCAUCGCCAGUAUUACUUAGUGUUCCUCGCAUGCCUCGGCCACCUCCUCCUUCUCCUGUUGGAGAAUCAAGAAAACGUGGAUUCCCAAUUGUUAGAUCCGGCAGUUCAAGCCCGCGGCAUUGGGGGAUGAGAAGUUUGUUUUCUGAUGAUAAAAUUUUCAAUAGGGCUCAGUUUUGCUUGGAUGGCCCUGAAGUUGUAUGGCCUUCAUGGGUGAAUAAAGGCACCUCUACUGGUACACUGGUACAAUCAAUUGAGGAUACUGUCUUGCAGGACCACCUUGUUAAGAUUUCACAGCUUUCACGUGAUCAACAUCCAGAUGUUGCAGUUCCUUUGCAGCCACCUGAUAUGUUAAAUGGUUCACCUCACAAGGCAUCCCUUUCUUUGAUGCACAAUGCUCUACAUGAAGAGAUUGAUCAAUUCUGUAAGCAGGUUGCUGCUGCAAAUCUGGUGACGAAGCCCUAUAUAAAUUGGGCUGUCAAAAGGGUCACACGGUGCCUGCAAGUUCUCUGGCCUCGCUCGCGUACAAAUCUAUUUGGCUCAAAUGCCACUGGUUUGGCCCUUCCAACUAGUGAUGUAGAUCUCGUGGUUUCUCUCCCCCCAGUCCGAAAUCUGGAACCUAUUAAAGAAGCUGGAAUUUUGGAAGGCCGCAAUGGCAUUAAGGAAACAUGCCUCCAGCAUGCGGCAAGGUGCCUUGGAAAUCAGGACUGGGUUAGGAGUGAUUCCCUCAAAACGAUUGAAAACACAGCAAUACCUGUGAUCAUGCUUGUAGCCCAAGUACCUUGUGACACAAAUAUGUCCAAUGACCCUUCUGUUCUGGAUAGCUCACAAGAAAUUUCAGUCAAUGUGCUUGGGGAGCAAGGGAGCCCUCCUCGUUCUGACAAUUCUAUUUCAGAAGGCAGCAACGCACUUGCGGGCUCAAAAAUGAAGGAUGAUUGUGAUGCUGUGCGGUCAAUUCGUCUUGAUAUAAGUUUCAAAUCACCAUCCCACACAGGACUCCAGACUACUGAGUUGGUUGGUGAGCUGACUCAGCAAUUUCCUGCGGCUUUACCCCUUGCAUUAAUCAUGAAGAAGUUUUUGGCAGAUCGUAGUUUGGACCACCCAUAUUCGGGUGGUCUAAGCUCUUACUGUUUGGUGUUGUUAAUCACUCGUUUUCUUCAGCAUGAACAUCAUCUUGGUCGGCCUAUUAACCAAAAUCUAGGGAGCCUUUUGAUGGAUUUCCUGUAUUUUUUUGGGAAUGUGUUUGAUCCACGCCAUAUGCGUAUUUCCAUCCAAGGAAGUGGAAUUUAUUUGAACCGAGAAAGAGGGCACAGCAUUGAUCCAAUUCAUAUCGAUGACCCUCUUUGCCCUGCUAACAAUGUGGGCCGGAAUUGUUUCCGAAUCCAUCAAUGCAUCAAGGCUUUUGCUGAUGCUUUUGCAGUUCUAGAGAACGAGCUACUGCAGUUCACUGCAGAAUGUAACAUGCCUGCAUCAUCAUUUAGCCUACUGAAGAAAAUAAUUCCAAGUAUUGAUUCUAAUGAGUUGUAGCAAUGAAAAGAACCUGUGAGUCCACAAGCUACAUGAACUGUUGGGUUGGAAUGGCCUCUGCUUGUGUUCUGGACUCUGAGUUACUACUGCAGCUGGUGGAAAAGGCUUGUUCGAAGGUACGAUGCCAGCUGCCCUCCUCUCGCCUCUGGCUGUUUAGAACCCGAGACCGUUAUUUGAGGUAUUAGCCUGAAUUGGAUGAUUCAAGAGCAAGAUAGGGUUGCACUCUGCACACAGAAGAUGCUGAACCUCGUGCCAGUGGUAUGUGCUGCCAAGGAUGCGGAAAUGGACUCGCCUAAUGAUGUGUGCUGCCAGACCUAUAAGGUCACGGAGGAGCAGUACAGCAGAUCCACACAGAACUCCGGAUCCGGAGGAGCAGCACGCAGGAUAUGAUCUAGCAGAGGCUCUACAUAUUUUCUGAAUCAUCUGUUCUCUGAACCUUAGAAAAUGCUGAAGAAAAGAAGAUCAAAAUCCGUAUGGCGCGCCGAGUCCUUCGUGCUUUUGGCAGUCCGCAUCAGCUUGUGGAACAGAACAGGAAACGGAGAAAUGCUACGGAGGAGGUUACCUCUAUUCUGAAACAAAGAAUGAAUCGACUCCUACGUGUGGCCUGUACCGGACUUGUACUGGAAGUGGCAACUGAUAUAGCAACGUGAUUGUUCUCCCGUGGAGUAAGAUUGUUCCCCGGACACACCAAGAGGGUAACUGCGAAGAUAACUGCAAGUGAUCUCGAGUGCCAGAUUCUUCGUUGCAGUCACUCGCCAACGGGUUUGCCGAGUUACUCUUCUUCAGAGACAAGUUAGAGCAUCAGAAACAUGGUCAGGUGACGGCAUUGGCUCUGUCUUACAAAAGCAGACUUCGUUUUCCUGCAGCUGAUGAGAGUCAAGUUGCUGCUUUUAUAGCGAGGCAGACUUCAGUUCCUGCAGCCGAUGAGAUUUAAAAUGCCGCUUUUGCAGUUUACUCCAACACAAAUUUGGAAGUAGCAUGUUCUUGACUUGUUGCGCUGAUGUUCUUCCUUUUUCUUUCUCGAGAAAGUAUCGACUAAUAUUUUUACAAUUACCUUGAUGAAUAUCUGCCAUUUUUCAUCACUAAAUUUGUUCACAACUACUCCAUCCGUUCCUAAAU
rnacentral:rRNA from 1 species